GGGAGUGAAAUAGAACCUGAAACCCUGCACUUACAAGCUGUGGAAGCACAUUUCUUGUGUGACCGCGUACUUUUUGUAGAACGGGCCAACGAGUUACGGUAAGUAGCAAGGUUAAGCACUUAAGGUGUGGAGCCGUAGCGAAAGCGAGUUUUAACUGAGCGUUCAGUUACUUGACGUAGACCCGAAACCGGGCGACCUACCCAUGAGCAGGAUGAAGCGAAAGUAA
rnacentral:rRNA from 1 species